rnacentral:lncRNA from 1 species
GGGUAAUAUCAAAAAGUGAGUCAAGUCAUUGUUUAUAGUGAAAAUAUGAGCGGACUAUUAUAUUGUGGCAAACACAGCAUUACAGUUGGAACUGAAAAACCUUUUACUGCAGCGGGCUAAAUCAGGGUCACACAGAGUGUUUCUUGGUAGUCUUAAACAAGUGUACUUUGAAACAAAAGUAUUCACCUCAAACACAUGGUUAUGGGCUUAAAAAAAGAAGACACCUGUACAAUGUCAGAUAUAGAGAUGAAAUGUAUUACAUUUUGAGUUUGCAUACAAAUAUUACACUUUAUACAUAUCACAGAAGACUGAAAUAUAACAAAACAGUUUGACAUAGAAACACCAGAUUAUCUGCAGCUUUUUUUUUUUUAAGUGUAUUAAUUAUGAAAUCAUGAAAAAUAUUAGUAACAUUCCACCCAUGAGGCCACUAAGUCAUUUGACUGCAGGAUACUUUGGCUGAAGGAAAUUGCUCAACAGAAUGAAACAAAACACUUGCAAACGGGUUUAAACCUUAACAAAAGUUUUGAACAAGCUAUAUUGCAGCAAUUACUAACAAAGACAAGUGGCUACCAUACCAAAAAUGACAGAAAUAGGCUAAGGUUAUAAGUAGGUCUGUUGUAAAAUAAAUAACAUAUCUUAAACUAAAGACGGAGCUCAAAAUUAAAAGACAGUUAACAUUUAAUUUAGCCAAUGAAAAUGUCUCAACAGAAUUAAACAAAACAGAUUUUGCAUAUUUAAAGAACUGUUUUCGAUUAAUAAAUAGGCUUACAAUAAUAACAAUGAUAUACAAUAAUUAUUAUUAUGAUAAAACUCUGAUGAUUAAACUAAAUGAUUAAACUACAUUUUAGUUCCAAAAUUGCAUCCUACCUGAAUAGGGAGUUGCACAGUAGUCUGCAUUCUUUUUAUCUUAGUCCACUACAAUAUUAAAACUCGUAUAAAAUUCCUCUUGUAGGCUUUUCAAUAUAGACAUCCUCUUUUUCAUCUAACUUUUGGUUGACUUGAAAAAGGCCUCCAUCUUUGCAAGUAUCUGUAGCCUAGGCCAAGCUCCUCUGUUCCUCUCUCUCUCCCUCUCCUCAGCAGCAGGCGCAUGUCUGAGCAAGGCGAGAGAGAUUGGUACUGAAGCGCCAAUUCGGGGUGUAGGCUAUGAUAGACAGCCUCUCCUGGACAAUUUGUCCUGCUACAAUUUUAUUUAUCUGCUUUAAUUUAAAAAAAUCUCAGCCAAAUGCAGGCAAUUACCAGCUAAGGGAACCCAUGGAGCAUUUUCCCAUCAGAGGGUGAUUUGAAAAGUCAUAGUGUUCCAUCAAAUGUACUUGUUGAAGAUAAAAGUAUGUGUGUAAAUAUGUAGUGCACAUGAAAAUUCCCAUGUAUCGAAUAAAUGUACCGGGUUUCCAUCACAUUUUCAAGUCUUACUUAUGGUUUUGUCACAAAACAUGUUGCGUAGCGAAUGUGCCCACUCUGGUAUUGGCGGGUGCGCUCCAGUUCUACUACAUGAUGAGAUUAUUAUGGACAGAAGUGCCAGAUUAUUUUCUUUCUUUUUUCAAAUGGGAGCCAAGCAUUGAUCACCAUGUCACCAAAACAAGAUCCUCGAUAUUUAUUGAAAGCAGCAUCAACUUCAUCACUGUGCAGUUUCACCACCCUGUGAAGUUCAUCUUAACUUAUUGCAUCUGUAUCCUAGUAAACUGCAUGCUUUCCCAUGACGUGGUGACAUUUUUCUAUCAGACAUGUAGGCUACUUUACUCGCAUAAAAAGGUUGAAAGGAAACCUGGUUAAUGUCAAGCCAUUUUGAGGAUGUUGGAAUUCUUGAAUGAAUGUGCGUAUGCCUACAUGAAGCUUUUGAAGUAGCCUAAUCUGAUUCAAACAUCGUGACUGGAUGUGUUUAUGCCAUAUAUAUAAAAGGUAAUACAUCUAAACAGUUACAUGAUACAUAUUUUGGCUAUAUUGAAGCGUUAGGUUCUAGGUGUUUGAAGAAUAGCCGGAGAGGAAGCAGAACGUGUUAAACUUUCCUGGAUAACUGGGCAUGCCGGGAGCAUAUGUGGCCACAUUAUUAUAGGACGACUUGGGUGAAUGAUUAUCUCAACAAACAGCGCAUUCAGUAUCAAAAGUAAAAAUACAGCCAGACUGGCCUGCUACUGUUCCUUUCUAGACCUUACAAACUGCCAAGAGUAGACCCACAACUCAUCCAAAUCUAAUGAAACAUUCAUAUCACAGUGCUUUUGCACUGUUAUUCAAAUGACUCUUUCACUGCAGCAUAGAGUAGGCUAGAAUGUUGACUCAACGCCACAAGAGCAAAGAACAUAUUUCAAACCUUGCAUGCUAGGGGGAGGUAGUUGCAAUAACGUUGGAAUGGUUUAGUCGACUUCCUCAAUAGUUGGUCCAGAAGAUCCACCGCCUCCAGAAACGGCGCCACCUGGUGUUGUAGGCUAGCAUAGGUAGGAUAAUUGUAUUGUCCCUAAACAAGAUCAGUAAGAUUUGAGUUGUGUGCCUCAUGGCUUCACUGUUCUUUCAUGCGCAAUGAUGCACCUGGCCUCUCCGCUGCCUAUCAGCUAAUCCUAUUUGUUCUUGUCCAUUCAUAUAAAAAAGGGCUUUCCUCUGACACCGCCUGGUACAGAGGUCCUGGAUGACAGGAAGCUUGGCCCCAGUGAUGUACUGGGCCGUACGCACUACCCUCUGUAGUGCCUUGCAGUCGGAGGCCGAGCAGUUGCCAUACCUAUAUACCAGUCCUUCACAAUGCCGGGGCUGCACAACUAUCAAGACAGAGUAGUUUAAGAAACCAAUUUACACGAUUCACCAUCAUUCUCUAAUCUACAGAGGGGUUCUGCAGUGCCAGACAGCAGGUACCUCCAGGGCUCCUUUCCCAACAUCCAGAUUUGUCCCCCUGUAUCUAUCCAACAUCAGACAUCCAUCAAGAUGCAUCAUGCUCCUAAAUCUCAUCUACCAUAACAUUCUGGUUAAUUAAGUCUUUUCUAACUAAAUCUUCCCUAAAUGAUUUUCAGUUGUAGGUGUGGUGUCUUAACUAAUGAAGCAACAGUUAUAACAACAUUCAUCGGUCUUUGUACUUGGCGACUUCAACCUCCCGACGUCUGCCUUCGAUUCAUUUCUUUCCAACGCUCUCUUUCCCCUCCUUGCCUCUUUUGACCUCACCCUUUCCCAAUCCCCUCCAACUCACAAGGUAGGCAAUACGUUUGACCUCAUCUUUACUAGAGGCUGUUCUCCUACUAAUCUCACUGCAACCCCCCUCCAGGUCUCUGAUCAAUACUUUGUUUCCUUUUCAGUCUCCCUAUCCUCCAACCCUAACCACUCAGCCUCUACCCAGAUGGUCAAGCGCCAUCACAAUCUUCACUCUCUCUCUCUCCCUCUACUCUCUCCUCUUCUAUCCUAUCUCCAUUCUGCUAAAUCCUUCUCCCUCCUGUCUCCUGAUUCUGCCACUUCGACCCUACUCUCCUCCCUUUCCUCAUCCUAUGACUCGCACUGUCCCCUUUUCUCCCGACCAGGUCGGCCCUCCCCUCCUGCUUCGUGGCCAAGUGACUCGUUGCGAGUUUACAGAACAGGGCUGCAGGCAGCUGAGCAAAAAUGGAGGAAAACUAAACUUCCAGAGGACCUAUCAUUCUUUCACUCCCUCCUACCUACCUUCUCUUCCCAGGUAUCAGCUUCUAAAGCCACUUUCUACCACUCUGAAUUUCAAGCUUCUGCCUCUAACCCUAGUAAACUCUUUUCCACCUUCUCCUCCUUCCUUAAUCCCCCAACCCCUGCCCCUCACUCCUCCCUCUCUGCGGUCCACUUUGAAAAAAGCUUGACGACAUCCGCUACUCAUUCACUCAGCCUAUUGAGUCCACUGGUCUCACUCACAUAGAAGUACCCUAUGCCUUGACCUCUUUCUCCCCACUCUCUCCAGAUGACAUCCUGCGACUAGUGAGGUCUGGCCGCCUGACAAUCUGCCUGCUUGACCCCAUCCCCUCCUCCAGACCAUCUCUGGAGGCCUUCUCCCACUCCUCACUUCCCUCACUUCCCUCAUCAACUCAUCCCUGACCACUGGCUGUGUCCCCUCUGACUUCAAAAUGGCCCGAGUUGCUCCCCUCCUCAAGAAACCAACACUCGACCAACAUCUGACAUCCAAACAACAUCUGACGUCAAAAACUAUAGACCUGUAUCCUUUCUUUUUUAUCUUUCCAAAACACUUGAGCGUGCUGUCUCUGAUCAACUUUCUCGUUAUCUCUCUCAGAACAAUCGUCUUGACUCUAGCCAGUCAGGCUUCACGACGGGUCACUCAAUCGAGACUGUUCUUCUCUGUUACGGAGGCUUUCCGCACUGCCAAAGCUGACUCUUCUCUGUUCUCAUCCUCCUAGAUCUAUCCGCUGCCUUCGACUCCGUGAACCAUCAAAUCCUCCUCUCCACCCUUUCAGGGAUGGGUAUCUCAGGCUCUGCAGACUCUUGGUUUGCAUCCUACCUGGCAGGCCGCUCCUACCAGAUGACGUUGAGAGGAUUUGUGUCUGCACCACGGACUCUCACUACUGGUGUCCCCCAGGGCUGUGAGAUGUGGUUGUCCCACCUAGCUAUCUUAAGAUGAUAGCACUAACUAUACAGUCUUGUCCCAACGCUGCAACUCCCCUAUGGACUCGGGAGAGGCGAAGGAUGAGAGCCAUGUGUCCUCCGAAACACAACCCUGUCAAGCCAUAUUGCUUGUUGACACACUCCUCGCUUAACCCGGAAGCCAGCCGUACCAAUGUGUCGGAGGAAACACCAUCCAGCUGGCGACCGAAGUCAGCCACAAGGACCCGGAACGCCACAAGGAGUCACUAGAGCACGAUAGGACAAGGAAAUUCCAUCUGGCCAAACCCUCCCCUAACCUGGACGAUGCUGGACCAAUUGUGCGUCGCCUCAUGGGUCUCUCGGUCGUGGCCGGCUAUGAUACAGCCUGGGAUUGAAGCCGGCUCUGUAGUGAUGCCUCAAGCACUGCAAAGCAGUGCCUUAGACCGCUGCACCACUUGGAAGGCAGUCUAAACUCUUUUGACCGAAACUGCUUUGUUUUAAAGAUGAACAUUGCAUUGCAUGGCCUCUGAAGACACAUUUGGAAGGGUACCAUACAGUAAGGGGAUCUGCUGUACCUGUAUAUUGUGGGUGAAAAAUUCAGUUAUAAAUGAUUUUGUCUUAGUUAAGAACAAAUUGUCAUCCAGUAGGCCUUGAUUACAUUUCCAUUACCCCGUCCACAUGGAAAUUCUGUAAGAAUUAUGUGGAGGCUAAUUAGAUGGUGGUCCGAUCGCAUUCUGUCUCCUACCAAUACUUUUUUAAACUUUUGGUGCCAGAGAGAAUAACACAAUCAAUUAUUCAAGAUGGCUAGCUUGAUUAAGUCUCCUCCAUGUAUAUCUCACUAGGUCUGUUUUUUUUGUUGCCUCCAUAUAUCCACUAGUACUAACGUGGGGCGGUAGGUAGCCUAGUGGUUAGAGCGUUGGGCCAGUAACCGAAAGGUUGCUGGAUUGAAUCCCCGAGCUGACAAGGUAAAAAUCUUGAACAAGGCAGUUAACCUGCUGUUCCCCGUUAAGCCGUCAUUGUAAAUAAGAAU